GGAGUGUUGGCAGAGUGGUAAUGCACCGGACUCGAAAUCCGGCGAGCCAAGUUUUUCCUUGGCGCGCAGGUUCAAAUCCUGUACACUCCU
rnacentral:tRNA from 1 species